ACGAACGCUGGCGGCAUGCCUAACACAUGCAAGUCGCACGAGACCUUCGGGUCUAGUGGCGCACGGGUGCGUAACGCGUGGGAACCUGCCCUUAGGUUCGGAAUAACUCCCCGAAAGGGGUGCUAAUACCGGAUAAUGUCUUCGGACCAAAGAUUUAUCGCCUUUGGAUGGGCCCGCGUUGGAUUAGCUAGUUGGUAGGGUAAAAGCCUACCAAGGCGACGAUCCAUAGCUGGUCUGAGAGGAUGAUCAGCCACACUGGGACUGAGACACGGCCCAGACUCUACCGGAAGCCAGAGGUGGGGAAAAUGGAACAAGGGCCAAAGGCUUAACCCAGCAAGCCCGGGUGAGUAAUAAGGGCUUAGGGGUUGAAAGCCCCUUUUCCCCGGAAUAUUAUGACAGUACCGGGAGAAUAAGCUCCGGCUAACUCCGUG
rnacentral:rRNA from 1 species